rnacentral:rRNA from 1 species
UUCCGGUUGAUCCUGCCGGACCCGACUGCUAUUUGGGUGAGGAUAAACCAUGCGAGUUGAAUGGGAUACCUAAAUAUCCCAUAGCAAACUGCUCAGUAACACAUGAUCAACUUACCCUAUGGAGAAAAAUAACCUCGGGAAACUGAGGAUAAUGUUUCAUAGUUGAAUAGGCUUGGAAAAGUUUUUCAAUGAAAGGGAUAAGAAAAAUGGUUCUUAUUUGCCAUAGGAUAGGAUCGUGGUCGAUUAUGGUUGUUGGUGAGGUAACGGCUCACCAAGCCGAUAAUCGAUAGGGGCCGUGAGAGCGGGAGCCCCGAGAUGGGUACUGAGACAACGACCCAGGCCUUACGAGGCGCAGCAGGUGCGGAACCUCCGCAAUACACGAAAGUGUGACGGGGUUACCCAAAGUGUUCAUUAUUGAACUGUGGUAGGUGAGUAAUGUCCCCUACUAGAAAGGAGAGGGUAAGGCUGGUGCCAGCCGCCGCGGUAAAACCAGCUCUUCAAGUGGUCGGGAUGAUUAUUGGGCUUAAAGUGUCCGUAGCCGGUUUAGUAAGUUCCUGGUAAAAUCGGGUAGCUUAACUAUCCGUAUGCUAGGAAUACUGCUAUACUAGAGGGCGGGAGAGGUCUGAGGUACUAUAGGGGUAGGGGUGAAAUCCUAUAAUCCUUAUAGGACCACCAGUGGCGAAGGCGUCAGACUGGAACGCGCCUGACGGUGAGGGACGAAAGCCAGGGGAGCGAACCGGAUUAGAUACCCGGGUAGUCCUGGCCGUAAACGAUGCAUACUAGGUGAUGGCACGGCCAUGAGCCGUGUCAGUGCCGUAGGGAAACCGUUGAGUGUGCCGCCUGGGAAGUACGGUCGCAAGGCUAAAACUUAAAGGAAUUGGCGGGGGAGCACCACAAGGGGUGAAGCCUGCGGUUCAUUUGGAUUCAACGCCGGG